UGGCUGAGCGGGACCCUGGGGGACCUAUCGUGCCCGGGGCAGAGAAGCCCUGCAGACCCUGAGAGACAGCCACGCAGCCGAAGCACGGCCCCACCAGUUGCCACCGCUGGGGACAGGACAACGUCAUGGGUGGCCAGAGUGGGCGAUGGCACGGAAACGGUAACACCGGGGAUGAAACUGCCCCUGUCACAGCUGAGUCUCCACUUCUGAGCAUGCUGACGGGCACAGACAGUAAACCAACGAUUCUGGGUGGCCUGUUGCUGUGGUGUGGCAGAGAGGGCACAGCCCCAAGGAGAUAGGAGGCUGGACUGUACCACCACCACUUGGCAAGUCAGUGGACCCCUCUUGCUUCACUCCCCUUAUUUGUGCAAAAAAGAUGGGGCCAGAUCAGGAGUUUCCAGCCAAGCUCUCUGGGGCUCCAGUGGCGGUGUGGAGUCUUCAUAUUGGUCAGAAGGUGCUACUUUUGCAGAAGGCACUCAGAGGAGGAAAUCUGCAUCCUGUUCACCCUACAAGCAGGCUCUGCCUCAAGCUCUGUAGCCAGGGCCUGCACUCCAUGGGGACAGCGAGGGAGCCAUCUAUGGAGGUUUGAGCAGGUGAGGUGCCUGGGUUUUGCUCAGUAUGCCCAGAGAAAGGGGGAGAAAGUUAGGUUGGAACCUGGUUUGGAGUGCAGCCAAGAUCAUGGCAGAGGAGAGUCUCGGGAGCUCUGUUGCUUGAACUCUGCAGUAUCCAGGACCUCCAAGUGAGCAUCACCAGAGGCCCGAGACGUUUUUACGAGGUAUUUAUUUAUUUAUUUAUUUAUUUUAGAUAUUUUCUUAAUGAUUUUUUUAAAAAAUAGUUUUAAUUUAAAUUCCAGUUCAUUACCAUACAGUGUAAUACUAGUUUCAGGUAUACAAUUGAGUUAUUCAACACGCCCAUACAACACCUGGUGCUCAUCACAACAGGUGCACUCCUUAAGCCCCAUCACCCGUUUGAUCCAUCCCUCCUGCCCUCCUCCUCUCUGGUAAUCAUCCAUUUCUUCUCUAUAGUUAAGGGUCUGUUUCUUGGCUUGCCUUCCCCUCCCU